rnacentral:misc_RNA from 1 species
GAUGAAGAACGUAGCGAAAUGCGAUAAGUAAUGUGAAUUGCAGAAUUCAGUGAAUCAUCGAAUCUUUGAACGCACAUUGCGCCCAUUAGUAUUCUAGUGGGCAUGCCUGUUCGAGCGUCAUUAAUUCCACUUAAGCCCUGCUUAGUGUUGGGAAUCUACUCUAGUGGUGCUACCCUGGAGCUACCCCUGAAAGGGGGCUGGCCCGGUAGUUACCCUGUAGUUCCUCAAAGAUAGUGCGCGGAGUUGCGUGGUCCGCUGAGCUUAGUAACUAUACACCUAGCUUUUGAGUGUCCCGCGGCGCCUGCCGUUUAAACCCCAUCUUUUAAUGGUUGACCUCGGAUCAGGUAGGAAUACCCGCUGAACUUAAGCAUAUCAAUAAGCGGAGGA